GAUGAACGCUGGCGGCGUGCUUAACACAUGCAAGUCGAACGGUGAACGAGGGAGCUUGCUCCCUCCGGAUCAGUGGCGAACGGGUGAGUAACACGUGAGCAAUCUGCCCUGGACUCUGGGAUAAGCGUUGGAAACGACGUCUAAUACCGGAUACGAGGCGUGGGGGCAUCCCCAACGCCUGGAAAGAACUUCGGUCCAGGAUGAGCUCGCGGCCUAUCAGCUAGUUGGUGAGGUAACGGCUCACCAAGGCGACGACGGGUAGCCGGCCUGAGGGGGUGACCGGCCACACGGGGACUGAGACACGGCCCAGACUCCUACGGGAGGCAGCAGUGGGGAAUAUUGCACAAUGGGCGCAAGCCUGAUGCAGCAACGCCGCGUGGGGGACGACGGCCUUCGGGUUGUAAACCUCUUUUAGCAGGGAAGAAGCGAAAGUGACGGUACCUGCAGAAAAAGCACCGGCUAACUACGUGCCAGCCGCCGCAGUAAUAC
rnacentral:rRNA from 1 species